AAUUUAUCAAGAGAGACCGAGGGAUAGGCCCUAUGACGUCCGGCAACCCCCAGCACGAGCUGGGAAGGUGCCAAUUCCUACAGAAUGAUUUCAUUCUGAAAGAUAACCC
rfam:Paenisporosarcina sp. HGH0030 genomic scaffold acAqH-supercont1.4, whole genome shotgun sequence.